rnacentral:rRNA from 1 species
UACGGGGGGGCAAGGCAGUGUUCGGAAUUACUGGGCGUAAAGGGCGCGUAGGCGGUUCGCUAAGUUGGAUGUGAAAACUCUGGGCUCAACCCAGAGCCUGCAUCCAAAAACUGGCAGCUAGAGUACCAAAGAGGGGGGUGGAAUUCCCGGGUGUAGCGGUGAAAUGCGUAGAUAUCGGGAGGAACACCUGUGGCGAAGGCGGCCCCCUGGUUGG